rnacentral:rRNA from 1 species
UACGUAGGGUGCGAGCGUUGUCCGGAAUUAUUGGGCGUAAAGAGCUUGUAGGCGGUCUGUCGCGUCUGCUGUGAAAAUCCGGGGCUCAACCCCGGACUUGCAGUGGGUACGGGCAGACUAGAGUGUGGUAGGGGAGACUGGAAUUCCUGGUGUAGCGGUGAAAUGCGCAGAUAUCAGGAGGAACACCGAUGGCGAAGGCAGGUCUCUGGGCCACUACUGACGCUGGAGAAAGCGAA